rfam:Triticum aestivum genome assembly, contig: Triticum_aestivum_CS42_TGACv1_scaffold_346016_4DL
UACCUGCUUCCUCCAUCCGAAAAUAUUUAUCAUUAAAAUGGAUAAAAGAAAAUGUAUCUAGACAUAUUUUAGUUCGAAAUACAUCCCCUUUUAUCUAUUUUGAUGACAAGUAUUUUCGGACAGAGGGAGUACGUA